CAGAAGCCCAGUCAAGUGAACUACCAAUGAAAUAAACAGCACACAAUCGGUUGAUGCAUAGAAAUAGUGUUUGCCUCAAUGAACUGAUCUGGACUCAAGCCCUUUAAAAGAGACAACCUGAGGCUGCUCUGGAUCUGCUAUAGAGCAAAUAAAGUUUUAUCUCCAUGUUAUUAUUACUAGUUCCACUUCGAGCAGAAACAAAGAAAAUCUGUUUAUAAAUGUCUCCAGUUAUGUUGAAGGUAGAUGCAAUUUGGAGGGCCUCUCUGAGUGGUCCCACUACCCCCAGAUACUGACUCAGAGAACCAGCAUGAGGUUCUACCAUCUCAAAGACCCAUGCUUCCGGUAGUACUGAUGGAGGAAAGAGAAACCAAAUAGAGUGGGGAGAUCAAGCAGCAUGUUUUAUGACCACAAUGGGAAAUGAUGUCCAUUCCUUCUGCCAUUUGCUAGAACUAGUCACAAGGUGCUAAACAUGCUUAAAUCAAGUACCAGACAAAUCUCCCUGAUCAAAGUGCAAAGGUGAGCUGAUGUGUCAGAAGAAGGGGUGAAAUCUGCAGCACUUCUGUUCAACAUGCCCAAGAGGAAAAACAAGCAACAGCGACAGCACCAGAAGAGGAAGAUUCCUCAAGGCAAAACUACAUUUCUCUGGAGUGCCCAAUCCUCUCCAAUGUGACUUGGAUAAUUCUCAAUAAUUUAAGCAACUUGGAGUCCUAAUGUUUUUUGCCAGAGACUAAUUUAGAGUUUGCCAAUGGACUGUCUCUGACCAAUGAAGAAGUGAGGGGUGGUCUCCUGGGAGCUUCUUUGAAAGGUUCCCUCACUUCACAAAGAACAUGAGGAAGAAAUACUUGCUCUUUUGAAUGUUAUGUUCCUGUAUAGGGCACCUAAACUGAUAUUGCCAUGGGCAUCAAUGAAGGACAUUAGGCAAAGGCAAAGACAACAUGUAGAGAAAGAUAGAACUAAAAGGCAGAAGCAACCCACGUUCAAACGUCAUCAUGAAGCCACUGAAUUAGCCUAGUAAUGGACCUCAGUGCUUAACUAUUAUUGAGAUACUUCAUUUUCUUUAUUGUGUAAGCUAAUUUAAGGCAUA